GACAUUGUGGCCGAGUGGUUAAGGCGGCAGACUCGAAUGGAUCCUUCAAAUUUGAUAUCUGCUUCGUUCGCGAGCACAGGUUCAAAUCCUGUCGAUGUCG